GACGAACGCUGGCGGCGUGCUUAACACAUGCAAGUCGAACGGAAAGGCCCUGCUUGCAGGGUACUCGAGUGGCGAACGGGUGAGUAACACGUGGGUGAUCUGCCCUGCACUUCGGGAUAAGCUUGGGAAACUGGGUCUAAUACCGGAUAGGAGCCAUCUUUAGUGUGGUGGUUGGAAAGUUUUUUCGGUGUAGGAUGAGCUCGCGGCCUAUCAGCUUGUUGGUGGGGUAAUGGCCUACCAAGGCGGCGACGGGUAGCCGGCCUGAGAGGGUGUACGGCCACAGUGGGACUGAGAUACGGCCCAGACUCCUACGGGAGGCAGAAGUGGGGAAUAUUGCACAAUGGGCGCAAGCCUGAUGCAGCGACGCCGCGUGGGGGAUGAAGGCCUUCGGGUUGUAAACUCCUUUCGCUAGGGACGAAGCUUUUUUGUGACGGUACCUAGAUAAGAAGCACCGGCUAACUACGUG
rnacentral:rRNA from 1 species